rnacentral:rRNA from 1 species
CCUACGAGUGGCUGCAGUGAGGAAUAUUGGUCAAUGGGCGGAAGCCUGAACCAGCCAAGUAGCGUGCGGGAUGAAGGCCCUACGGGUCGUAAACCGCUGUUGCACGGGGAUAACACCCUCCACUUGUGGAGGUCUGCAGGUACCGUGCGAAUAAGGGCCGGCUAAUUCCGAGCCAGCAGCCGCGGUAAUACGGAAGGCCCGAGCGUUAUCAGGAUUGAUUGGGCUUAAAGGGAGCGUAGGCGGGCGUUCAAGUCAGCUGUAAAAUCGCGCGGCUCAACCGCGCCCCGCAGUUGAAACUGGACGCCUUGAGUUCACAACAGGCAGGCGGAAUUCGUGGUGUAGCGGUGAAAUGCAUAGAUAUCACGAGGAACCCCGAUUGCGAAGGCAGCCUGCCGGGGUGCGACUGACGCUGAGGCUCGAAGGUGCGGGUAUCAAACAGGAUUAGAUACCCCUGUAGUC